UUUUAUUAAAGUAACCAUGAGAGAUACACUCGAUUGAUGCCCUCUUCUUUAGUUUGAGAAUCUUUUCAAGUUUGGGGUUUACUUGGGAGGGGGGAUGUGUGGUGUGGUAAGCAUAAUUGCACGGUGUGUAAUUAAAGAUAAUAGGGGCAUUAAGACUCCACGUCUUACUUGAGUUUUGAAGAGAAAGAAGAUUUCAUCAAACAACAGUGGCAUGCACAUUUGUCGGGGUGCAAAGACCUGAUUGGUUGUCGCAGGUGGUUCCAGAGUAUAAAUUGACUUUGAGUGAGAAAUUAUGUAGUUCAAUCUUUCCCACAUCAAGACCACUGCUUCACUUUCUCCUGAUACCAAGACAAAGGAUCAAGAUGAUAUCUGUGGUGCUAUUGAUGUGCCUGCUGGGCUUCUCCCUGGCUGCUCCAACUCCUGAUAGUGGAAGCGAUGAGCAGGUUGCAGCACAUGCCAACGAGGCCCUGAGAUGGAUGGAGCUCUACAGAAUGUAUGGUUCCCUCGGACAACUGGCUGCACCAGCUCAGCCCCCAAUGUUGAAUGCCCCUGCUGCAGCCCCUGCUGCCCCAGCUCAAGACCCCAAAUUCUUCUACCCACCACCACCAAUGAACUCAGAUGAAGAGGCCCCAGUGCCCCACUAUGGCGGCUAUGUCAGAUACUAUCCCUAUCCUGGCCAGGCUGCACCUGCUGCCCCCGUCCUCCCUCUGAACUCUGACGAGGUUGGAGAGGACGAGGCUGCCGCUGAAGCCGAGGCUGAGCCAGCAGUGGACCACGCAGCUGAGGAACCAGCAGUUGUGGAUACCGCCACCCCAGUAGACCCAGCAGCUGCAGCCCCUGUCGACCCAGCCGUGGAUGUGCCUAUCGAUGUUGUUAUACCCGCUGCCGUCGACAUCCCUGCCACCAUUGACACUGUUGCCACUGACAUCAUUGUUGUCAAUCCCGCUCUCAUAGCGCCAAUCGACACCACCGUGGUGUCUGGGCCUUCAGACCCCACCCUCCCUGUUAUGUAGGCGCCACAGUAACGGUUGCCAGCCUGCUCCUGUGUCGAGCCAGGGAGACAUUCCCUCCCGUAGUCAUUGUAACACAAAAGGAGAAACAACAGUGAUGGGGAAAGGGCAGGGUAGGAGCAGCGAGGUCUAUGGUAUGGCUACUUGAAUAGGGACUGAAAUGGAAUUUGGCAAAUACGUGGGAUCUCUGUGAACCUCCAUGUGUGAAUGAGCCUGUACUGUUAUUGUGCAGUCACAAAAAAUAUGAUGAUUCAGUCUUUUCUCUUUGUGCUUUUUUCAGUCUUUAAAUAAAAAUGCCUGUUGAGAUACUGCACUUGAUGCUCUUUUUUUUAUCAGCAGAAGAAUUCCUGUUUUAUGAUGUGAUACUUCACAUUACGUUGGAACAAGAGACAAGCUGUGUACCCCAUUUCAAUUGUCCCACUGUCAAGCCACGUUCUCCUUAGAUAAUGUUGCAAUCCAGGUCAAAAGUUUCCCGGGAAGUUAUAAUUACACUAGCAUCGCCGGGCCUUAGCACUUAUCAGUAGCCGCCAAUGUGCACCUUUGGAAUGUCAUAUUUUUUUGUUGCAGUCUAAUAAAUCCAGUGUAAUAUAGACCAUCACAAAGAAAUCCAUUAUUUCAUUCAGGCAGGUCUUAAAAAAACACUAUCAUACUAAAAUAAUGUAUUUCAAAAGAACAUACAGUGCCAUGCAAAAGUAUUCACCCCCUUGACGUUUUUCCUAUUUUGUUGCAUUACAACCUGGAAU
rnacentral:lncRNA from 1 species